CAGCAAAGUAGCCGCAAGAAUUGUUUCAUCCUCUCCCCUGCUCUUCACACCAAAAUCCUCCUUUCAACUUCGAUUUGGAUGAAGCUAAACAAAGAUGUCGACGGCGCGCCACCGUUGGUGUUUGUGGAGCGCACGUGAGGAGUCCGCCCCAAGACGUGCGGUGGCUGGAGGCUUCGCUGGAAGCGGGGAGGCUGAUGCUAGGGUUUCGUAACCCUUCCUUUUCCAUUAAUUUCGGGCCUAGGUUAGGAAUUAGCUAUUGGGCCCGGUAUUGGACUUGUAACAAAAUUGGACUGAAACAUUAGCCUUUGUUUCUGUUUGGUUUUUAUUUAUUUAACGGGCCGGGCAGGAAUUGGGCCCUACAUAUAUAUUAAAAGAAAAUUAUGUUAUGAAUAUCUUAUUAAGUGGAUGUCCAUCAUAAUCAAGAUAAAGUUUUGAUGUACUUUAAAUUCUAAUAGUUAUUAGAAUUAGAUCUCUAUUUCUUUUAUACUUCUUAUGCCUAUAAAUAGAGACUUUGAUGAAGCAUUAUAAUCAUCCUAAUUGAUCAAUAAAGUACAUUCUCUAUUGCUUCCA